rnacentral:rRNA from 1 species
UACGAGGGGGCGAGCGUUGUUCGGAAUUAUUGGGCGUAAGGGUGCGUAGGCGGUUACCGCAAGUCCUGAUGUGGAAAUCUUCGGGCUCAACUCGAAGUACUGGCACGGGAAACUGCGGGGCUUGAGUGUGGGAGAGGUGAGGUGGAAUUCCCGGUGUAGCGGUGAAAUGCGUAGAUAUCGGGAGGACACCUGUGGCGAAAGCGGCUCACUGGACCAUAACUGACCGCUGAUGACACGAAAGCUGGGGGAGCAAACAGG